CAGCAGCCACGGUAAUACGAAGGGUGCAAGCGUUAAUCGGAAUUACUGGGCGUAAAGCGUGCGUAGGCGGUUUGUUAAGUCUGUUGUGAAAUCCCCGGGCUCAACCUGGGAAUGGCAAUGGAUACUGGCAAGCUAGAGUGUGUCAGAGGAUGGUGGAAUUCCCGGUGUAGCGGUGAAAUGCGUAGAGAUCGGGAAGAACAUCAGUGGCGAAGGCGGCCAUCUGGGACAACACUGACGCUGAGGCACGAAAGCGUGGGGAGCAAACAGGAUUAGAUACCCGCGUAGUCCCUGUCUCUUAUAC
rnacentral:rRNA from 1 species